rnacentral:lncRNA from 1 species
CCGGUCCUGUUAUCUGGUUUAGCAGCAUUUGUUGUGGUUUUCGAGGAAACGGCAUUUGGAUUACAUAAGGAUUCAAGUUUUUGCUGUACUUGUUUAUUUAAUACCUUGGCAAGAGGGAGCCCUUACCCUGAAACCAGAUAACCGAUUUUGGGUUUAAAACAGCCUUAGAUGAAGGGCCACUCGAGGGGAAGAAAAUGAGCAAAGCCACAAAAAGCAAACAAGGGAAUGUUUAUUUUUCUCUUUUUGGAUAUUUUUGAAGACCUGCCUAACCUCUUACACUUCUUGUCGCAUACAGCUAAUAAAUGGCAUUAACAAAGCGUUUCAGCGACUACCACGGCUUCACAGUGGCUCCUCCCCUGCCCUGCCACCAUUCAGGCUGUAAUUCCUUCCAGGAUUCCCGCACCAUCCUGUGUGCCCAGAGCUCUCUAGAGCACCAGGUAGAACUCCGUGCUAAAUCCAAUUGCUUGCAAUCUUCUGAUCCCCUUUUAGGGAGAUCACUUUUCAGCUUGGUUCAAAGAAAGCAAAGUUUGGGAAGUUUGGCGGAGGGGCCGACUUAACUACGGGCACUGCAAAUAUUUUGUUACAAAUGCUGUGAAGUGCCCCGAUUUGUGGCUGCGUUAGCUUUCACAAAGGAUUUUCCUGUGUCUUUUGUUCCGAUCACCAAAUUAAAAGAGAAAAUUAACUUGAGUGAGAGAUAAGGUCUUGGAAAACAAUCUUGGGCCGCCCGCGAGCUGGCGGGAGCGGGGCUGGCGUCGCCUUGUCUGCGCCGCCCCGAGGCGCGAGUCUUGGGGUCCGGCCACCGCAGGGAGCCUAGGUCAUGCAGGGACCCCCCCCUCCAUCCGCUGUGCACCCUCGCGCCACAGCGCAGCACCCAGGCCACCCCCCCUCUGCCCACCAGCGUCCGUGGGAAUCCGCCCCAGCCAGCGACAAGGACGGACUUGUCCGGAAUCAAACUGCAUCUUAAUAUUAUAAUGCGGCACCAAAAGCAAAACCCGAGGCCCCGGCUUGCAGUCCCUAACAAGAAACACAUUGUGUGCACUUUUUCUUUUUUGGCUCAAGCCACGUUCGCGCGCCGGCCCCUCCGCAGCGAGCCAAGUCCAUGACUUCAGUGAGGAGGAACCCGCCUGCCUCGCACCACGUGCGCUCCCAGCUGGGGCAGCCGCCCUGUGAGCCCUGUCCCGGUCCCUGGGACGGGCUAGGGCCUGGCCGGGACGCGCUUGUCCUGGGCACAGGACAAGGGCUUUGGGGCACAGCCCUUUCUCGGCCGGGGAGGCAGGCGAACCGAUCGCCCGGGCACUGGUGUUACCCAGGCGGCGCCAGCGCGAGUUGGCUGGUGGACAGGUUUUUCAAUAGUUUGAACUCCUUCUUCCCCUUGCCGCAUCUUUAAGGCGUUUACUCCCAGAUUCAGCCCUCUCCUCAUAAUAAUGACAGUUUGCAGACUUUUCCUUUCCAGUUAGAGUGCGUGCGCGGGUCCUGCAAGAUCCCAGCCGCGCGUCACCGCGAACCAUUCUGCGGGAGGGGCAGGACCUAAGGCUGCAUCUCCAGGAGGGAACGUGGAGACACCGCGGGCGGAGGGGACCUGGAGGAGUUCCUGGAGGAGCAGUCCUAGGCACGGGGCGAAGGAUUUGCGCUCUAGCUGGUGGAGCGCACAUCGCCCUGGUUAGCUCUGCGUCACCAUGUAACAAAUGCAGACAUCUCUGAGAUCACCAUGCAGUGAGGAAGUCUAAGCUGGUGGCAUGAAGAGGCCACAUGGAAAGGGCUAAAAAAGGGGCCAGCCUCAGUCAUCCCAGCUGAGCACCUGGCUGGGAAUAAAAGAGGACUCCGUGGAUGUCCAGCCCAGUAAGAUGACCUCAGCCCCAGCCACCAACUGACCAAGCACACAAGACAUCGUGAGGCUGCCUGCUGGAGCCUGGCCAGUGGGACUGUAGAGUAACUCAUUGUCGUGCAGGAACUCCUGGGAUGGUGUUGCCCAGUGACACAAUCCCAGUGUGGCCAUUUCUGAUCCCGAGAAAGCAGUCAGGAGUGGGUGGAUGCAGUUACAGUUCAUCAAGUCCUGCUAGUUCAAGUCAUGAGUCCUGAAUUCUCCAGGAGGAGCCACUAAAGAAAUGCAGAAGCAGGCAAUCCUUGCAAUAAGGCCAGCAAACUGCCAGUGUGAAGGAUGCCCAGGUAACCUGCCCAUGCCAGAACGGCCAGGAGAUGGUGGAACCAGAAUCUAAGCCCACGCCCAUCUGACCUCAAAGUCUGUGCUCCUGAGGUUCGCACCGAGUUGCCUCCUAAGACUUGCUGAAACUGGAUCACGUCCAUUUACCCAUCUCUGAGAGAAAUGCAAGCUUUAAAAAAGGAAAUAUUUACUAUGGAUAUUUUACAAUAGUUCCAAAACAUGAAAGUUUUAAAUAAGAUAUUCUUAACCAUCCUCACCACAUCUUC